rnacentral:rRNA from 1 species
GAAAGUAAGUAAGGGCGUAUGGGGGAUGCCUAGGCUCUUGGAGGCUAAGAAGGACGUGGUAAGCUGCGAAAAGCUGCGGGGAUUUGCAAACGAGACUCGAUCCGCAGAUAUCCGAAUGGGACAACCCGGCAGGUAGAAGACCUGUCACACCGCGAGGUGAGCUAACCCUCUGAACUGAAACAUCUAAGUAGGAGGAGGAAAAGAAAGAAACAUCGAUUUCCAAAGUAGCGGCGAGCGAAAUGGAAGAAGCCCAAACCGAUAUUGUUACGGCAAUAUCGGGGUUGUAGGACUGCAAUAUUCAAUUAACAAUGAACUGGAAUGGUCUGGAAAGUCCAUCCAUAGAGAGUGAAAGGCUCGUACAGGUAAGUUUGUUAUGCGAAAGCAGUAUCCUGAGUAUGGCGGGACACGAGGAAUCCUGUCAGAAUCAGCCGGGACCACCCGGUAAGGCUAAAUACUCCCAAGAGACCGAUAGUGGACCAGUACUGUGAAGGAAAGGUGAAAAGAACCCCGAACAGGGGAGUGAAAUAGAACCUGAAACCAUACGCUUACAACCGGUCGGAGCAGCUUCGUGCUGUGACGGCGUGCCUAUUGAAUAAUGAGCCUACGAGUUACUAAUCACUAGCGAGGUUAAGUGCAAGGAUGCACGGAGCCGAAGCGAAAGCGAGUCUGAACAGGGCGUUUAGUUAGUGGUUGUAGACGCGAAACCUUGCGAUCUACCCUUGAGCAGGUUGAAGGUUGGGUAAAACCAACUGGAGGACCGAACGAAUAAGCGUUGAAAAGCUUCUCGAUGACUUGAGGGUAGGGGUGAAAGGCUAAUCAAGCUGGGAAAUAGCUCGUACUCCCCGAAAUGCCUUUUGGGGCAGCGUUGUAAUAAAGAGUCUACUGGAGGUAGAGCUACUGAUUGGAUGCGGGGGCUUCACCGCCUACCAAAUCCUGACAAACUCCGAAUGCCAGUAGUAUGAUUUACAGCAGUGAGUGACUGGGUGCUAAUGUCCAGUCGCAAAAGAGGAACAACUCAGACCAGCAACUAAGGUCCCGAAGAAUAUGCUAAGUUGAUCUAACGAUGUUUUGUUGCAGAGACAGCUAGGAUGUUAGCUUGGAAGCAGCUAUUCAUUCAAAGAGUGCGUAACAGCUCACUAGUCGAGCGACAGAGCGUGGAUAAUAAACGGGCAUCAAGCAUAUCACCGAAGUUCUGGGCGCGAGAGCGCGGUAGGGGAGCAUUCCAUUCAGCGUCGAAGCAGUUUCGUGAGGAAUUGUGGAGCGUAUGGAAAAGCAAAUGUAGGCAUGAGUAACGAUAAUGCGGGAGAGUAACCCGCACACCGCAAGACCAAGGUUUCCUGAUCAACGCUAAUCGGAUCAGGGUUAGUCGGGUCCUAAGGGUAAGCCGAACGGCGAUCUCGAUGGAUAAUCGGUUAAUAUUCCGAUACUAACAUAUACCUCGAUGGAGAGACGAAGGAACGUAAGUGCCGCCACCUGACGGAAUAGGUGGUUAAAGGGCGUAGGUAUAGGGGCAGAUUAAGAGUUAGUCCUUGCUGAAACCUGACAGUACAGAGAGCCUACGGGCAAUUUGAUAGAGCACCCAAGUCGACUUCCGAGAAAAUCUUCUAAGUUAUAGUAUAUGUUACCCGUACCGUAAACCGACACAGGUGGUCGAGGAGAGUAUCCUAAGGUGCUCGAGUGAAUCACGGUUAAGGAACUAGGCAAAUUAACCCCGUAACUUCGGGAAAAGGGGUCCCUAUGAAAGUAGGGCGCAGCGAAGAGGUCCAGGCGACUGUUUAUCAAAAACACAGGGCUCUGCAAAUUCGAAAGAAGACGUAUAGGGCCUGACACCUGCCCGGUGCUGGAAGGUUAAGAGGGGAUGUCAUCGCAAGAGAAGCAUUGAAUCGAAGCCCCAGUAAACGGCGGCCGUAACUAUAACGGUCCUAAGGUAGCGAAAUUCCUUGUCGGGUAAGUUCCGACCUGCACGAAUGGUGUAACGAUCUGGACACUGUCUCAACCG